CAUAAGCGGACGACCAGCUAGUGGGAAUCAGUUUCAAGGUGCUGCUUAGAGACUGGAUUAUGCAGUAUGGAUUGUGUGAGACAGAAUAUGGAGGAUAUGAGAACAGACAACACAGGAGCCUCGGCUUAGAUGAGUGAGGCCCUCAGCGCUGUCUUCUAUGAGGGAACUUGCAAGCAAUGGUGCAUUUGAAAAGGGUGCUAAGAAGACUGAUUAAAAUGAUGGAACAUCUGAGAAAUUCAUCCCUGUUUAUAGAUCCUGAGGAAGGCAAAGCGAGAGAAGCUUAGUGGAGACCAUUCUUUAUUCUGUGUUUGUCCUGGUAAGCACAUCAGAUAUAGCAGAGGAAACAGGAUGCCUGACGGCCAGUCAGAUGCUUCCUUAGAAGGAGGAAUAACCAGUUGGGAUCUUGUGAUUUAAGUGGUGCAUUGUAAUCUCCACUGUCAAGAGUGUCAGUCGGGCCUGUGUCAAGGGUGUACAGUUUGGUUGGAGUUUCAAUGUGUGGGAUCCACUCCUGGGGGUUUGGCAAGAUUG